AGCUGCUGAGGGAACUCUGUAGCCGACCUGACAGUUAUCUUCCUGCUCACGUGGUACAUUCAUUCCCCAGCUUGCAGAGAGCCAAGUCAGGAAUGUCCGCUAGUAGAACAAGGGCCUCAUCACCCCAGGAACGGAAAUGAGGAAGUAGGAAGAAGAUACCACAGCUUAGCGCGUUUCGGUGGGAGUACAUCAGCGCAAACGGACCUCAGAAACUGCCGUACCCCCUGAUGGUGCUGGACCGGUGACUUUGUGUCUAGGAAAUAUUCAGCAGGGUUUCUCUGGUUUCCGCCGCUGUGCUGUGUACUUCGGAUUAGCUGGCUGAGUGUUUCUGGAAGAUUCUCUUCCCUCUGUCUUCCAGUUCACCGUAGGGAUGUUGGGACGACAGAUGUCCACCACACCACCACCACAUCAAAUGUGCGUCAUGGAGAUUGCGGGGAGAUGAGCAACCUUUCUCCCCGGCCUUUAUUUGAGGAGAGGUCUCAUGCCUCAUGGCUCGGCACUGAACUGUGUAGUCCAGGAUGACCUGGACUCUGGGGUCCUCCUGUGCCUCCCUCCAGGUCCUCAGAGUGCAUGUGUGAGCCACUGGGUUAAUGUACCACUACAAUGGCUCCUGCCUGGUAGGUGCGCCUCAAUCUCUGAGCCCCAUAUUCAUAACCUUGACCUACCUUUAUGGGAUAUUAGUGUCAUAUCACAGAUAAAUUGUUGUAGACACCAGGUUUACUGCCAUGUAAUAAUAUACAUAA